CCUUACAAAUGAAAUUGAAACAAUGGUGUUGGUCUAGUUAAAUGUGAUAGAAAUAAAGCAAAUGUGGACAGGUGAUCCAUGCACGCACGCUGUACAAUGACAAAUCUCGUUCAAAUUAUCGCUGAGUGGUGACACAUAUGUUUUGAAAAGACAGGCCUGACAGGCAAGGGAAUACAACAAUCAUAAUAAAAGUUUAUUAAUAUAAAAGCUUUGUGUGAAACAUGCAUGAAUUAACAAUUUGUACAAGUUUUCAGAUUGCUUUGGCUUACACCACUGGUAUAACACUAGUUUCCAGAACUAGGUACUGAAAAAUAAUAUGGAUGUGGAUGGUGGAUGUAACUUUAAAAAUGCAUUUCAGCAUGUUGCUUGACUGAAUGUAAGCAAUAAGAAAAGGAAGCUGUGAUUGGAAAUUACAAAGUACUUUCCUAAAUGUCUACAGAAGUAAGAUUUGUAAGUAAAACACUUUUAAGUGAAGAACAGAACGAUUUCUUCCAAACAGGUCACACACCUAGUAAUAUGGUGGAAUAUGGCUGAGAUCAGCCCAUGUCAGUCAUUUUGGAAACAGGAAAUUGUGCUCUAGUUCGCUAACACCAUACUGUGGUGAAAGGUCUGUGCACUAUUAUUUGGUUUAAAAGUUAGCUAACAAGGUUUCAGUCAAGCAAAUAAAUAUUUUGGUCUGUGUUUCAAAAACAGGUGAUUAAAUAUUAUACAUUUUAUUUAACUGAUACCAAUGUUAAACAAAUAUAAUAAAAUGAAAAUUACAAGUAUUUUAAUCUAUGUUUCACAUCAUUAUGAGAGUUGCUGUAAAAGUUUCAUAAUAUACCUACUGUUAUUAGUAAAGUUGUUCCAUUUUGUGGAAUACAUUUGAUACAGUAGAUCUCACAACAAAAGCUCAUGUAUAAAGGUUAGAACUCUGUUUUGCCUAUUGGCCACAAACAUUCAUAAGUACUUAAAAUAAUGGUUAUUCAUUAUAACAAUGUUAGGUCCAUAUCUGAAAAGUGAAAUCAGUAUAGUUAUUAGUUACAUGGUGACACCAAAGUAGUAAUAAGUUUGACUAUGCAUAUUUGUUUAAAUUUUAAUAAGUACUGCUUGUUGUAUUGCAUAUCUAAAGAUAGUAGUUAUUUGAGUUCAGCUAUAUAGGUACAUUUUACAAAUUCUACAAACUAGAAUAUUAAGUCUCUAGUACUAACAGCAACACUCUUGGCUAACCAUCGGUAGCCUUUAUGCCCUUGUAAUAAGGAUUACAAAUGUAUGGCUAACAGUGUUGUCGAUGGUACUUUAUAGUCAGUUGUAGCCAAACUCGAUGUGACUGUGAUGUUGGAUACUAGCAAACUAGGUAAAAAUUGUUUGUAAACUGUAAAUAAUUGCAUUAAUAAUACAAUUGACAUGAUUAAUAUAAUAUAUAAUCUUUUAUGCAUAGAGAUACAUAAAGACAAAGGAUUGAUUUAUUUAAUUGUAACUUUCUUACACAAUACAAAUGUGUCAAUGGUGGACUUCUUCUUCUUAUCGUGUCGAGGUUCCUUUCUUAAUGGUGGACUUAAUGCUAGGAUGCAUUCUCUACCCACAAAUUUUAAUUAAUGAUACUUAGUAGUAACCGGGACUACUAACCUUUGUUUAAUUUUAUGGUAUGUUUUUGACUAUUGUUAAGACAAAAUUCAUUGUUCUUAUUUUUAUGAUAUGAAAUUGAUUAUAACCCAUAACCCCAUACCCAUAAUUCAUUGUAACUACUAACAAUGUAGAAAAUAUUGUAUGUAGAUUUAUUCAUUUCAAUGAUGACUAAUCAUAAUUAAAUUUCAAAACUAGCCAGAUUAUUAGUUAAGAUUGCGGUAUGCCUUCACAGGGCAUUAUGUACUCACUUACCUGCCUCGUUUAUUCACCUGCAUUUUAAUGUAGGUACAUAGAUGUACAGUAGAUUAAUGAAAUAUGGAAAGUUAACUACACCUAAACUGCAUUCAUGAAACAUUGUAUUAGAUUAGGCUAGCAAUUAGCAAUGUAAAAUGUUGGUUAGUAAAAAGUUUGAAUUUGUGGUGUUCAAUGGUUAACUUCAACAAUAAUCUUUGUAUGUCAUAGGUAUGUUUAUAAAAGACGGAAAUUACUGACAUUAGUUACCUACAGAGUGAUUCACUGUUUGAUGUGGACGUACUAAAUAUUGUAUGAAAUUUGUAUUCUAAUAUCUAUCUUAUUCUACAUGGCCACAGGAAAUUAAUCAAUAACUGUUUUAUGUAUAAUUGUAUAUGAACUUGUGAGAGGUAGCAAGUAAAGAUUGUUAUAAAAUUUAAUUCAUUUAAAGAAAAGGAGAGGAAACGGGAAGGUACCGAGUAAAUGUCAUUGGGGAUUCCUACAGCAGAUCGUUAUUUCCAAACCAAAUAUUUACUGGAUGUGGACACAGUCAUUGUACAGAAUCUACUUAAGUGUUAGUAUCUUGUAUUUAAUAAUAUUAAUAGAUAUAGUAUACCUUGUGUGUAGUCUAUUUUGACUCUUUAGGAUUAUUCUUAAGACUCAAAGAUUCAUAAUAUGUUAUGCUACUAACUAGUGGUUGAUAUUUCUAGCUCUAGUCUAAAGUCAUACACUUGUGUUAGUAUAAGGACUUACCAUGGAGUAUAAUUAUAAUGUGAUGUGAUCAGAUUGUUACUUAAUAGAAAAAUAUUUGCAAUGGAUAAUUAUUUCAAGCCUAUCUGGAAACUGUAACCCUAUUUGUAUUAGUUGUAUAAUAGUAGAGAUUGUUGAUUGUAUAAAAUUGGAAGUUUAUAAAAUGUGUAUGUAUCUAGUGAUUCAAAACUGUUGUUGUUGCUACAUGCAUUUAUUGAAUUUGUUUGAAGCUAAACUGUUGAUUAGUGCGCGAUGCAGUCUUGGUAAUUUCAUAAAUGGUUCAUGCAUUGUUUUAAUUUAAAAUUUGUUAAAAAGGAAGAGAUGUGGUAUUCUAAUAAAUGGCGGUGUACUGGCAACACGCAGUUGCUGUCAAGAUGGCACCAAGUGUGUGAGGUCGGAGAAUGCCGUACAGAGAAA
rnacentral:lncRNA from 1 species